rnacentral:misc_RNA from 1 species
ACAUUCAAACAAUUUUUAAAAUUUAGAUCUGAAUCAAAAUUUAAUUGUGUGAUUAAAAUUUUUAAUUAAACAAUUUAAUUAGAUGUGAGUCUUAAUUUAUAUACAACAAUUGUAUAAAGAACCACCAAACCAUGCGCACACUUUAAUUGUAAAAACCAUGCGCACACUCUCAUGGAGACAAUACCAUGCCGCCACAUAUAUGAAUGCAACUAGCAAUGAAUCAAUCAAAAUUGAUUAAAGAUAAUACCAUAUAGAAUUUGUAAAAGACCCACUCAAGUAUUAUCACCAUUCAAACAAGUAAUUCCCAAACAGGAAAACACAACUCAAAUUCUCCUUAUCACUUGACAAAGAAAAACAUUUUAUUAUCAUUCAUUAUCUCCCUAUCACUGAACACGCAAAAGAAUUAAUAUUUUAUUCCUCUGCAUCUUCCCACUUUUACAAUCUGUUUCUAAAGCUUAAAGUAAACAUGCCAAUAGAACACCCUAAUAAAUUAUAACAUCAAAAUUUGGAACUGUAAAAACAGAAACAAUUGUAUGAUGUCAAGCAUGUGGAAGCUAAAGAAUUACAUUGAUGUAAAUAAAUCAAUAAGUUCACAGAUCCAAAAAAGCACAUAAGUUACAGAUCAGAAAAAUUACCUCUGGAUUGAACCUUAGAAACUGUAGCGGCAGGUACAGCUACCACAGCAUUUGCUGUAUUGGUUGAGGGUGCAGAAACAUUCUGUCACAUUAGUUGUGGCAGGAAUUUCAGCGGCAAUUGAAUUAGAAGUAAACCACUCAGAUGCUAUGACUGUCUCACUGACAACAGCUGAAACAUCAAGUUUCAGAUUUUGUGCUGCUUCUGCUGGUUUAUCAGCAGUUCUAAUUUGAUCAGAAGCAAAAGCAUUAUAACGUACAGGAACAGAUUCAGAGUGUAAACGAGAAGAUUCUACAUCAAUAUCAGGCAAAGAAGGCACUGAUUUGUCUUUAAGGUUAUAAUAUGCUACUGGCUCAACAGGGCUAACCCUGAUAGGAGCGGUUUCUGCAUAGAUGUUGGCAACUGCUUCAUAAUUAAGUGAUGCAUGGGGCACACCAACCUGACUUCCAUCAGCAUGUACAUAUAAAUUACUACUUGGGGCAGUAACUGUGUGUCCAUAAUAUUGGAAAUUAGCAUCUGGAUAGGAUAAGUUGUCUUGUUCGGUGUAUGGGAGAGGUUGAUGUGUCUCUGAAUAUGAUGGAAGCGGAGGAUAUGAAGAUUCAGAAGGCUCAUCAGGUGGGGGUGGUGGAGGAACUAGUUCACUGUCAGGAGGAGGUGGAGGUACCUGAUCACUAUCAGACGGCAGUGGUGGAAUCCAAUCCUCUUCCGAGGGAGGUGGAACUGUCGACUCAUCCCUUGAUGCCAAAGUUGGAUACUCUGCAGAUGUAUUUCGCUGACUCAAUUGCUUGACUGAAGCAUAAACCUUGGUGUUCAAAUCAUCUCCCAAAGCUGUGAUACUUGCUGGAACUCCAUCUUCAACAUCCAUGUCAACAUCUUCCACAGAAUGGAACUCAGGCUCUGGGUGAGGAGUCUCCUUCACUUUUUCACUAACCACAGUACCACCUACAUGUUCAUUAGGUGAUCCUAAAGAAGAAAUAUGGCUAGCAUAUACAUUUCUGCGAGGAUCAUUGUUUGAAUCAUUCUCAACCUUGCAAUCAACACUUGCAAAUUCAUAUUUAAUAUUGUUUUCACAUCUAUCUGCAUCAGAAUGAUGCCGCAUGCUUGCCCAAGAUUUUUCCUUUUCUUCAAAAAGAGUAUUGGUGGUUUCCUCAACAUCUUCUUCCAUUUGUGCAGAUACAGCAACAUGGUAUAUUUCUUUGUUAACAACAUCUUCUAAUUGUUUAAGCUGCCUUUGAGAAUGGACCCAAAAUGGAAGCAAAGAUGAUCCAUAAGAUGAAAGUGACUUGAUAUCAGAGAGUCUAAUAUCUAGUUCUAAAAUAUACUUUGACAUCUGGUCAUGACAUAGCAGGAACCUCCCACACCCUUUGAGUGACUUCAGUCUCUCCAACAAACAAUCGCAUUUUCUCAUAAGACCAGUUGAAAGAUUCGUCCCCUUUUCAAGUUCAUCAUUAGUUAAUGCAGUACCUAAGAGAACAUUAUCUGCACUGAGGUUACUUUGUGACUCAUUUUGGUACACAUCAGUUACCCCAAUUUUAUCUUUCAGGGAUUCAAUUUUGCAUCCUUCAACCGACUCAUCCAGUUGUGGCCCAUUACCAGGCACUUCCUGGCUUUGAUGAACUAAAGUGGCACCAAUUGAACCAUUUACAGUUAGUGCAGCAGAAGAAUUAUCCAAUCUGAUGCACAAAGUUGAGCUGGACUCAUUAGUAUCCACAGGAGCAGUUUCCAAAUGUUCAGUGGCAGGAGCUCUCUGAUCAGAGAUUGAUCGAGCUUUAGGAACUAAAACAUCAGGUACUUCCCAUGAAGUUUCCCCAGUUUCAGUAUUCUAGUAAUAGUAUCGAUUACUCUCCUCAUGCAUUACUAUCCUCCAUCCUGAACUCACAUCUCCAAUAAUUUGGGCACCAGAAGCUCCAUGUCCAGUAUCAGAUAUAAGUUUUGUGUGAUCAACUUCUUUGCACUUAUCAGCAGAGGCAGUAGCAUCACCUUCUCCAGAAUCACCAUCUUCGAGCCACUGUAAAGUAUCAGCUGGAGUAGAAUCCCUCUUCAUGUCAUGUGUUUCAACCUUCUCAGCAGCAAUAUCUUCAACUGCCUUAACAUCUUCCUCUUUUCCUUCACUAGGUGGUCCCUCCUUAUCAAUAUGGUCUGAAGGGGAAUUCUCAGCAACAGCAUGGUUCAGGCUUUUACUUGAUUCCUUAUCCAAUUCAUCAUCGCUAUAUUGUCCAAGUAACAGAAGAGGAUUCUGUGGUUGUUGACCUGAAGACAAGAUAAUGGAAUGUCAGAUACUUUUUAGAACCAUAAUGUUAUCCUCUUAUCAGUAACUAAACAUCAGAAACAAAGCAAAUAGAUGCACUGGAAUAUUCAAGCAUUAUCAGCAGUACACAGCCAGAAAAUAAUACAAAAGAAAGAUGAUAUUAAUUUGCAAUAAAAUUCAAAAACAAAUCCACAGGGAAAUUUUUGGAAUCAUUGAUCAGGGUCACCUGUUAGACAGCAAAGAAAAUGUCAGUGGAGGCAUAAAUAAAAUAAAGCCAGAAUCAUACGAACCGAUAGAAAAAAUUCGAGACGAAAUCUCCAAAAUGCUUUGAUGCUGGGAAACAGUGGAUUACAGAACGGAAGUCAUUCAAAAAUUCACUGUGGCAGGGCCCGACCUGAUCUGAUAAGUAUAUUGCCAUGACCACAGCCAACCUAAAAUCUGAAAACAAAUACUUGGAGGCAAACAACAUAACAUGCCACCAAAACUCAUGCGCUCUCUACAUAAUCCUUUUUGAAGAAAACUGAUGGAACCCACCUGAAGAUGAAGGUGAAUUGGGUAAUCCAGCACGUUGUGUCGGAUCUAUGUCCCCUCCAACUUCGCCAUUUACAGAGGAGCCACCCAAACCUCCAGAGGGUUCCGCGAAGAGAUCAAGCUUGACGCGACGGCCGGCGUUGCUAAGAGCUGCAAGGCGACGCUCUUUUCUCUUGCCCAUAGAAUUUGAUUUAAAAGAUUUUUCUAAUUCUUUUCGUUAGGGUUUGAUCUCUUUUAUUCUUCCAAGUAGCCUGGGUAUGUUUGGCGGUAUUAGCAGUUCUA